rnacentral:rRNA from 1 species
CAGCAGCCACGGUAAUACGAGGGGAGCUAGCGUUGUUCGGAAUUACUGGGCGUAAAGCGCGCGUAGGCGGCUUUUUAAGUCAGAGGUGAAAGCCCGGGGCUCAACCCCGGAAUUGCCUUUGAAACUGGAAAGCUAGAAUCUUGGAGAGGUCAGUGGAAUUCCGAGUGUAGAGGUGAAAUUCGUAGAUAUUCGGAAGAACACCAGUGGCGAAGGCGACUGACUGGACAAGUAUUGACGCUGAGGUGCGAAAGCGUGGGGAGCAAACAGGAUUAGAUACCCGUGUAGUCCCUGUCUCUUAUAA